GGAAAGCCAAGAGGAGUCCCACAGCAGAAAGACUCAAAGAAAAGCAGUCAAGGAUUCUGACUAGACAAAGCAAAGGCCACAGAACACACUAAUAGAUUAAAUACUUGUACUAAGCAGAUGUGAUAAGUGAUUGAAACCCUCUGGAUGUCCCCAUACAUUGUAAUAACCAUUCUUUCUCUCUCUCUCAACCUUGUCCAUUUUCUUCUCAGAGAAAUUCAAACAGUUGGGUAAAAUCUAACCCUUUACAUCAUUUGUCUUUUAUUUCAAAAAUAUUUUUUUCCACCUACCAUAUACAUUCACAGUACUGCUUUGGUCCUUACCACAAUGUCCAGUGUCUGGAAUUUUACAAUACAUACCAAGCUACUGGACUUUUAAUUUUCAAGUCAAUCUUUUAGGCUGAGGAUUAAGGGGCCUACUCAUGAAAUAACAGUUACUCGUGUGACAUUCCAUUCCAUAUUCCUUAUGAAAAUAUGCUUAUUAAUAUGACAUAACUGAGACGUACUUUAUACAAGAUGGCUCGUGUAAGAUAUCAUUGGAAAGGUUCUGAUUUACUGAAUGUGAUUAUCCAAUUUGUAUGCCUGUAUCAUUUCUGUAUCUGAAGUUAGGAAUAUUAACUAUGUAUAUGUAUUUCAAAUGUGUUACUUUGGGUGUCAACCCCACCCAGCUCUUCAGGUACAACAAUGGAAAACCCAGACAGGACUAAUGGGCUAUUAGCAGAAACAACAGACUGUGAAAGAGCAGCUGCCUUUCAAGACUUUCUGUAACCUGCCUGUAACAAUAUCUAGGACUAACACGGCUGCUACUCUGAAACCUGGAACAAUACAGCAGAGAACAAAUUAACUGAGAUGUGGCUGUACCUGGAAUGCUUCAUAGAAUAGUCAAGUCUUCUGAAGAAUUUGAAGAAAGAGGAAAAACAAGCAGUUUCCAAGGCUGCAUUAAAGAAGUGACAAAAUAAAUGAAAUGUUGG